GAUGAACGCUGGCGGCGUGCCUAAUACAUGCAAGUCGAGCGAACAGACGAGGAGCUUGCUCCUCUGACGUUAGCGGCGGACGGGUGAGUAACACGUGGAUAACCUACCUAUAAGACUGGGAUAACUUCGGGAAACCGGAGCUAAUACCGGAUAAUAUAUUGAACCGCAUGGUUCAAUAGUGAAAGACGGUUUUGCUGUCACUUAUAGGUGGAUCCGCGCCGCAUUAGCUAGUUGGUAAGGUAACGGCUUACCAAGGCAACGAUGCGUAGCCGACCUGAGAGGGUGAUCGGCCACACUGGAACUGAGACACGGUCCAGACUCCUACGGGAGGCAGCAGUAGGGAAUCUUCCGCAAUGGGCGAAAGCCUGACGGAGCAACGCCGCGUGAGUGAUGAAGGUCUUCGGAUCGUAAAACUCUGUUAUUGGGGAAGAACAAAUGUGUAAGUAACUAUGCACGUCUUGACGGUACCUAAUCAGAAAGCCACGGCUAACUACGUG
rnacentral:rRNA from 1 species